UAGAGAGGACAUCCUUUCGAAAUUAAAGUCGGGGCAACCUGACGCUUCUUGUGGGGCCCGCGGCCUAUCAGCUAGUUGGUGAGGUAACGGCUCACCAAGGCUUUGACGGGUAGCUGGUCUGAGAGGACGACCAGCCACACUGGGACUGAGACACGGCCCAGACACCUACGGGUGGCAGCAGUCGAGAAUUUUUGACAAUGGGGGAAACCCUGAUCGAGCGACGCCGCGUGGAGGAUGAAGGUCUUCGGAUUGUAAACUCCUGUCAUUGGGGAAUAAUGCACAGAUAUUAACUGUAUUUGUGUUGAUAGUACCCGAAGAGGAAGAGACGGCUAACUCUGUGCCAGCAGCCGCGGUAAUACAGAGGUCUCAAGCGUUGUUCGGAUUCAUUGGGCGUAAAGGGUGCGUAGGCGGCGCGGUAAGUCGGGUGUGAAAUCUCGGAGCUUAACUCCGAAACUGCAUUCGAUACUGCCGUGCUUGAGGACUGGAGAGGAGACUGGAAAUUCUCGGUGUAGCA
rnacentral:rRNA from 1 species